AGAAAUACAAGAAAAACAACUCAAAUUUGGAGUAGUGCUAGCCUGAAAUCUAUCCAAACUGAAGGCAGUUUUUCACAUAUAGCCAUUCUAAUCAGCUAAAGCUGUUUUAAUACCGUAAACUUAGUGAUCCUGGUUCUCCAGACUUUUUUGAACCAGUUUCAUCUAGGAAUCUUUUCAGGGGGUGAGGUCCUGGAGAUGGAACCCAGGGGUGCUUUACUGAGCUUCAUUCCAAGCCCUAGGACUUUUACGUUUUGAGACAGUCUUGCUAUGUUGCUGAGGCUGGCCUUGAACUUGAGAUCCUCCUGCCUCAGCCUUUAUACCCAGCCAGGAAUCUGUUUCAAUUGUGUGUAAAUCUGUUGAUUCCUCUUCCUUCUAGGUAGAAUGUUUUGAGUUUUAUGUUUUUCUUUUUGGUAAAAAGCUUUAUAAAUUAAGCUUCCCUCAUACUUUAGUGAAUGGCUCAGUGAAUGUUCUUCCUAAGUGUUCCCUUACCUGGCAUAUUAAUUUUUUUUGUUAAACUUUAGUAGUCUGUUUUAUUCUUUGACAAUAGCAACUGGAUGUUGCUUAUACAAUUUGGGAUGUAAAUUUGGGACUUUGGGGCAUGUGAUGAGUCUGAUUUAGAUAAAGGGAAUGAGUAUAAAUAAGAGAACCAGGACUAGGAUCUGGGGUAUUUCAAUAUUCAAAGACUUGGGAGAAGAGGAACAACUUAGGAGAUAGUGACCAGACAGGAGGAACAAAGUUGAGAAUGAUGCCAUUGAAGUAGAGAACUUUAUCCAUGGGGUAAAAAUGAACACUGUCCUAUGGGCAACUGAUGUAAACCAGCAAGACCCUGUCUCAAAGGGUGGGCCUUGGCCUUGCUGGGAAUUUAGCUCAGUAGUAAAGCACUCCUAGGCUCAAUCCCCAGUACUAAACAAAGAAGGAAAGAAGUGAGUUGGUGGUGAUGAAAUAAGAGCAAAGUUGUCAUCAGUAUACAAGGUUCUUAUACAAAGUUUUCCAAUUAUGCAUGUGGUUAGAGCACGUUAUAGACUCAUUUGACCUAAUAAAAUUAGGUCUAUAAUAUUAACUGGGUACUUGUAAUUGUGAAAUAGCCAAUGGAAAAUUCUGAGUUUUAAAAGUUUCUUGUUAUAACAAGUAGGGCUUUUUAAUUCAAAUAUUAGUCAAGCCCUAAUAUAGGAGAAUAGAAUGUAUUUGUUACAUUUUCAUAAGUUGCAGAAGGUUAACACCAAACACUGGAGUUUUCUCCUAAAAAAAAAAAAAAAAAAAAUGGCCUGGGUUUCAGAUUACAUCUCAUUUUUUACUCAGUCAACUUUAUGUUUUUCCUUAUGAAAUGUCUUUGUCAAUGACACCUGCCCUCAGAGAUUGUAGAUUUAAAGGACAUAUCUUUUCUAAAUGAGCUAAAGAAUGUCAUUCUGUUAAAAGGAUAAACAGCUGGUCAUGUAGAAAUUCUCUGGAAUGCUCAGUUGUCCCACAAAGAAUGAAACAAAUUGAGAUGUUAGAUAUAGUGUUUGUCAUUGAUACAUAGAAUUGUAAAUCUUUAACAUGAUAUUAUUAGAAAUCUUUACAAAAUUUCAGUAAUUGCCCUUCUCCUUUAAAGGCUUCUAAAUCAAUUAUGUGAAAGCCCUGAGAUCUGGUCAAGUGCAAUUUAAUGGGUGCAGAACCAUGUUCCAAUACAAGUGUUAUUUUAAGAUUAAGAUUCAGGACUUUCCUUCACUUAAAACAUCCUUUGUUUUGAUUGUCUCUCAAUUUGUUCGAAUUUCUUAACACAUAAAGAAUUAUGAUUUGCUCAGCUUUGCAAGCUUCUUUAUUCUUGAAUUCUUUGUUAUAGCCAUGUGACUAGAAGCGGAGCUAAACUACCCCUUCUACUUUGGCCACAGAAGUAGCCAUUUCUCUUACCCUAGCUAACUUGGACCUGUUAGCCCCCGCUCCCGCCUUCAUUUUUCUUUUUUGCGAAAUUAUCUUCCUCAGGGUCGGUGCAUACUUGGCGCUCCCUGUUUAUUUGAUGAGUUUCCCUAACAGAAGCUAGAUCUCGGUUUAUACACUUCUCAAGAAGCAGUAGACGCUGAGGGAGCUGGGGUCUGGUAGGACAUUACCUUCUCUGUUCACAGAGAUUCCCGAUAGAUCUGACCCAUUAGGCCUUUGUACAAAGGGACAGGAAGGGCCAGUUGGCGUUUGGAAGAUCAAGCUGUACCUCAGAAGUGUGGGAUCUCGGAGCAUUUUCUCCUGUUUGUAGUUGGUUGAGUAACUAUUCUGAGAUGUUGCAGGCUGAAUGGUCAAG
rnacentral:lncRNA from 1 species